GCACCAAAAGGGGAAAGUAAACUCACCGUGACAUCGCUAUUCCCUCUCUCCUCUAUCCCUCCUUCUCCCUCCUUGCCCGCGAGCCCGCUGCCUCCGCUAAGGAAAGACAAGUACAGCUAAGGGUCUGGGGGGGGGUGGACACCUCGAACUAAAGAAAGAGUAAAGAGAAGCUAAAUAGCGGAGGACGCCAACCAACCAGAGAGUUAAAGAGAGAGCUCGCGCACUAAAACAAGUAAAGAGUCACACAUCGAAGGUAUAGAUCCCCAGUCAACGACUACACUAAAACUAUCCCAAGCACCAUCCACACACAACACUAGGCCCCGGCACAACAACAUCUAAGUACCAUCCACGAACAUCAAAAUCACCAAGCAAGACCAAGCGCAGCAGGGCGACAGCAAGUAGUAGACGAAGCACAACAGGCGGUAAAACAAGGAGCAGAUGAGCACCAUCCAAGUUGCACAAGUCAAAAACACUAAGUCUAUCUACAUACCUAGUCAAUAUCCCAAAACUCUACCCUCAAAAACACCAAAACCCAAACACUAAACGUAACCAUCCACCAAACAAACAAGUGACCAUCUACCCACAACGGAGGAGACCGACACAACCAAAGAUCCCAAGGAGGACACGGGCGACAACGUCCAGGGAAAAUAGUACACUCACCUAUUUAGCGAGAAUCACAACCAAAUCUACAUGAAUCCAAGGAAGAAGAAUUACGGUACCAUUAACACACACACACUACGUCCAAACAUAGAAAAGGAAACACGGCAACUACACAUAAAAACGGACUCAGAAUGACACAUUAGGUGUAUCAAAAUCACACGUUUAACGUUUAGAUCAAAGACAAAUAAGGUCAUCUAGUAGGGUCAUCAUCAGACUACGGUAACUUUACAAAGACAAAUACGAUUAACAGUACGUAGAAUAAAAGGUGCUUGAUAUCACCUUAAAUUGACACUAAAUGUGAUAUUAUAUCCUGUACUAAGGUAACAUUAUACGGAUUAUAAACGUGACAUUAAAUGGUUGACAUCAUAUGGAGUAUUAAUGUCACAUUAAAGAUACGAAGUAGUGACAUAGAUGGGGUCUAAAUGUGACGUUAAAUAUACGAAGUUUUGACAUAUAAUGUCACAUUAAAGAUACGAAGUAGUGACUUAACGACAUCCCGAAUGUGACAUUAUAUGGCGUCUAAAUGUGACAUUAAACAUACGAAGUCGUGACAUUUACAACAUACUAAAUGUGUCAUUAAAAACCUGACUCAUAUCACCUAAAAUGGAGACUUAACUACAUCCCGAAUAUGACAUUAUAUGACGUCUAAAUGUGACAUUAAACAUACGAAGUCAUGACAUUUAAACAUCCAGAAUGUGUCAUAUACAGUCUACUAACUGGAGAGUAAAAAAUGUCACUAAAGGUACGAAAAUCGAGACAUGAAGUACAUCAAAGAACGUAAAUAAAGAAAAAAAGUACACGUUCACACAGAGACACCGUCAUCAUAACUCGCUCCAGGACAAAAAGUGAGACAUUAAUGAUCAUAAAAAUGACAUAUAAAAACGGAGUCUGAAUAACACAUUAGAAGUCUGAAUGAUACGUUUAAUGUACCAUCAAAGACACAUUCAGUCGGGUAUCAAAGUCACAAAGAAGUGUAUUAAUGAUCAUAAAUGACACAUACAAACGGGGUAAAAAUGACACAUUAAGUAGUACAUCAAUGUAACAUUAAAUGAUAUCUUAAUAACACAUUAAGUAGUACGUCGAGGUCACAUUAAGUUACAUCUUAAUGAAACAUUAAGUACGACAUAAAAUGAUACAUUAAGUAAUACGUCAAAGUCACAUUAAGUACGGCAUCAAAAUGACACAUUAAGUUUCGUCUUAAUGACAAAACAUCGAAGUCACAUUAAGUGGGAUCUUAAUUUAACAUAAAAACGGGUUAUUGGUGACACAUUAAGUAGUAUAUCAAGUCACAUAGAACAGGAAUCAAAAGUCACAUUAAAUGUGUUAAAUGACUAAGGUCACAUUAAAGGGGAUCUUAAUGCUACCAAAUGUAACAUCGAUGUUACAUAUAAGGGUCUAAAAACGUUACAUAAAUGUAACUAAGUCAAUACAUUAGACAGUACGAUUAAAAGUGACAUGGGGAUCAGAAAUAAGACUUAAAAAUGUCACAUGGGGAUCAAAAUGGCACAACGAAUAAUAUACAUAAAAUGUCACAUUAGAAACGGGAUUAAAUGUCACAUUAUAAGUACGAAAAUCGUAACACUAAAUAUCCAAGUCAAAUUACCCAUUCGAAUUGUCACACUCAUUGUCAUGUUAAACGUCAUCAUAAAAUUGUCACAUUUAUGUCAUCCAAACAAGGUCAGAUUCAAAACUACGUAAAAUUGUAAGUAUGUGACUUUAAAGAUACCGUAAAAGGUGACUUUAAAGGUACGUUAAAAGUGACAUUAAAGACGUUAAAGGUGACAUUAAAGAUACGUUAAACGUGACCCUUAAUGAUACAUUAAUGAUCCCCUAAAAACGUGACAUUAAGAACCAGACAAAUCAGUCAAAAAUCACAUUAAUGAUCCCCUAAAAGGUGACAUUAAGAACCACACGAUGACAAGAAAGAUCUGAGUUAGUCCGUGAUGCACAAGAACGUCACAUUUAAUAUUUUAAUAGGUUCAAGACGGAUGACGAUCACUACUUAAUAAAGGUCUCAUAGAUCAAAAACAGAUGACUAACAAAGAAUUGGACAUAGAUCAAAGACGCUGUGUAAAACAAAAACGUCUAAAGGAAAAUUCUCUCCACUUCCCCGACUUCUUAACUUCACGAUCCCCCAUCGUCAUCAAAAAAACAAGGACUGAACAACUAAAAAGACCCUAAAGGGGUUAACGGAUUCGCCCACUUCUUAACUUCUACAACAACAAGGAAGAACGAGCAGAGGUCCACUCUAGAGACGACGACAAUACAUCCUCCCCAACCUCUCAAGGGUUUUCCCCGGACGCAAAGGGCAUCGUUCAACUACCGGUUGACAAACGACACCAGGUCGCUCCGACGGCACGUCGCUCCAAACCACCACCACAGCCAAAUCAACUUUGGCCCGGUCCCAAAACGGGCUGGGCGAAUUGGGCUUUAUUCUUUUGGUUGUUGCUGGGCACCCCACCCCCCAAACCCUGUUUGUACACAGUAGACAAGUAACCAACCCCUUAAACUUACAACAACUUAACUUUUUGUCAGUUUACAGUUUAUCUGUCAGGGCGAAACAUUAAUGAAGCCUCAUCACGCAAAAACAACAGGUCCAACUUGACUCGUGCCAAUUACGUAAAAUAAUGUAUAAAUAUACAUCUUUAUCUACUAUUUCUCGAUAAAAGGAACGCUUAAUCAUGUAUUACG
rnacentral:rRNA from 1 species